rnacentral:rRNA from 1 species
UGCCAGCAGCCGCGGUAAUACGGAGGGUGCAAGCGUUGUUCGGAAUUAUUGGGCGUAAAGCGCACGUAGGCGGACUUUUAAGUCAGAUGUGAAAUCCCGGGGCUCAACCUCGGAACUGCAUUUGAAACUGGAAGUCUGGAGUUCAGGAGAGGUUAGCGGAAUACCGAGUGUAGAGGUGAAAUUCGUAGAUAUUCGGAGGAACACCAGUGGCGAAGGCGGCUCACUGGCUCGAUACUGACGCUGAGGUGCGAAAGUGUGGGGAGCAAACAGGAUUAGAUA